rnacentral:rRNA from 1 species
UACAGAGGGUGCAAGCGUUGUUCGGAAUUAUUGGGCGUAAAGAGCGUGUAGGCGGCUUUGCAAGUCCGUUGUGAAAACUCGAGGCUCAACCUCGAGACGCCGGUGGAAACUGCAAAGCUAGAGUCCGGAAGAGGAGAGUGGAAUUCCUGGUGUAGCGGUGAAAUGCGCAGAUAUCAGGAAGAACACCCGUGGCGAAGGCGGCUCUCUGGGACGGUACUGACGCUGAGACGCGAAAGCGUGGGGAGCAAACAGG